rnacentral:rRNA from 1 species
UUUUGCCUACGGGGGGCAGCAGUGGGGAAUAUCGGGCAAUGGACGCAAGUCUGACCCAGCAACGCCGCGUGAAGGAAGAAGGCCUUCGGGUUGUAAACUUCUUUUAAGGGGGAAGAGCAGAAGACGGUACCCCUUGAAUAAGCCACGGCUAACUACGUGCCAGCAGCCGCGGUAAUACGUAGGGGGCAAGCGUUAUCCGGAUUUACUGGGUGUAAAGGGAGCGUAGACGGCAGAGCAAGUCCGGAGUG